CCUACGGGUGGCAGCAGUGGGGAAUAUUGGACAAUGGGGGGAACCCUGAUCCAGCCAUGCCGCGUGUGUGAAGAAGGCCCUCGGGUUGUAAAGCACUUUCAGUGAGGAAGAACGCCUGGUGGUUAAUACCCAUCAGGAAAGACAUCACUCACAGAAGAAGCACCGGCUAACUCCGUGCCAGCAGCCGCGGUAAUACGGAGGGUGCGAGCGGUAAUCGGAAUUACUGGGCGUAAAGCGCGCGUAGGUGGCUUGAUAAGCCGGUUGUGAAAGCCCCGGGCUCAACCUGGGAACGGCAUCCGGAACUGUCAAGCUAGAGUGCAGGAGAGGAAGGUAGAAUUCCCGGUGUAGCGGUGAAAUGCGUAGAGAUCGGGAGGAAUACCAGUGGCGAAGGCGGCCUUCUGGACUGACACUGACACUGAGGUGCGAAAGCGUGGGUAGCAAACAGGAUUAGAUACCCUAGUAGUC
rnacentral:rRNA from 1 species